AGUGAACGCUGGCGGUAGGCCUAACACAUGCAAGUCGAACGGCAGCACAGGAGAGCUUGCUCUCUGGGUGGCGAGUGGCGGACGGGUGAGGAAUACAUCGGAAUCUACUCUGUCGUGGGGAUAACGUAGGGAAACUUACGCUAAUACCGCAUACGACCUACGGGUGAAAGCAGGGGACCUUCGGGCCUUGCGCGAUUGAAUGAGCCGAUGUCGGAUUAGCUAGUUGGCGGGGUAAAGGCCCACCAAGGCGACGAUCCGUAGCUGGUCGGAGAGGAUGAUAAGCUACACUGGAACUGAGACACGGUCCAGACUCCUACGGGAGGCAGCAGUGGGGAAUAUUGGACAAUGGGCGCAAGCCUGCUCCAGCCAUACCGCGUGGGUGAAGAAGGCCUUCGGGUUGUAAAGCCCUUUUGUUGGGAAAGAAAUCCAGCUGGCUAAUACCCGGUUGGGAUGACGGUACCCAAAGAAUAAGCACCGGCUAAUUUCGUGCCAGCAGCCGCGGUAA
rnacentral:rRNA from 1 species